AUGAAGAAUACAUGGGACUGGAACCUGGAGGAGGACAUCAGACGCAAAUGUGCUGGCCUUCAUGAUUCCAGGUCCUGGAAUCAUACCAGCCGAUGGUACCAUAUAACUGGAAUUAACCAAUGCAAGUCGAAGAAUGAUUGGCUAGUGCUGCCGGCUAGCGUCAAGUUCAAUCCCACGGAUCAGGAGCUGAUCGAGCACCUUGAGGCCAAAGCGAGUGCUGACAGCGUGAGAUCUCACCCUCUCAUCGAUUUGUUCAUACCAACCAUCGACAGUGAGCACGGCAUAUGCUACACCCAUCUUGAGAAACUUCCAGGUAUCACAUUGAGUGGCCUAAGCACGCAUUUCUUCCAGCGCAAUUCUAGGGCAUUCAAAAGGGGCACGUGGACGCGUCGCAAGAUACAGUCGGAGUGCGGCAUGCACGCGAUGUGGCACAACACCGGCAAUACCUUGCCGGUGAUGGUCAUCGGCUGGCAGACGGGCAGCAAAAAGUUUCCGGUGCUGCACACCAACAAGAACUUCGACCAGCAGAGGACCAACUGGGUGAUGCACCAGUACCACCUCGGGGACCUGGAGCAAGAGAAGGAGCGGGAGCUGGUCCUCUGCAAGAUUUUCUACCAGACGAACACUAUGGCCAAGAGUAAAAAGAUUAUAAUUUAG
rnacentral:rRNA from 1 species